rnacentral:rRNA from 1 species
AGAACGAACGCUGGCGGCAGGCUUAACACAUGCAAGUCGAGCGCCCCGCAAGGGGAGCGGCAGACGGGUGAGUAACGCGUGGGAACAUACCCUCCGGUUCGGAAUAGCUCAGGGAAACUUGGAUUAAUACCGGAUACGGCCUAGCGGCGAAAGAUUCAUCGCCGGAGGAUUGGCCCGCGUUCGAUUAGCUAGUUGGUGAGGUAACGGCUCACCAAGGCGACGAUCGAUAGCUGGUCUGAGAGGAUGAUCAGCCACAUUGGGACUGAGACACGGCCCAAACUCCUACGGGAGGCAGCAGUGGGGAAUAUUGGACAAUGGGCGCAAGCCUGAUCCAGCCAUGCCGCGUGGAUGAUGAAGGCCUUAGGGUUGUAAAGUCCUUUUAACGGGAAGAUAAUGACGGUACCCGUAGAAUAAGCCCCGGCUAACUUCGCGCCAGCAGCCGC